UACCAGCACCCCGAGUGGUCGGGACGAUUAUUGGGCCUAAAGCAUCCGUAGCCGGUUCUACAAGUCUUCCGUUAAAUCCACCUGCUUAACAGAUGGGCUGCGGAGGAUACUAUGGAGCUAGGAGGCGGGAGAGGCAAGCGGUACUUAGUGGGUAGGGGUAAAAUCCGUUGAUCCAUUGAAGACCACCGGUGGCGAAGGCGGUCUUCUGGACGGUGACUGACGCUGAGGCGCGAAAGCGUGGGGAGCAAACGGG
rnacentral:rRNA from 1 species